GUUUGCCCAUGGUAUCUGAUGUCCAGACUUUUGGAUAUCCCUGUAUCUGGACAUUUCGUUUAGAGGGCAUAUAGAGAUUUUUUACAGGCCUUGCGACACAGUUUGCUUGCUUAUAAUCUCAGCUUACUGUUACUAUAUACCUGUGAACAUAU